CUUCAUUAAGGGAGAUCGUGGAUAUAAAGGUGAAAGAGGAAACAAAGGUGACAAAGGGGAUGAAGGGCUCUCUGGUUCUAAAGGCGAUCCUGGAAAGAACGGAGAGAAAGGCGAAGCAGGUCUCACCCGCGAAGAAAUAAUCGUUUUGAUCAGAUCAAUCUGUGGUGAGUUCAAAUGUACAAAUUGACA